GAUGAACGCUGGCGGCGUGCCUAAUACAUGCCAGUCGAGCGAACAGAUGAGGAGCUUGCUCCUCUGACGUUAGCGGCGGACGGGUGAGUAACACGUGGAUAACCUACCUAUAAGACUGGGAUAACUUCGGGAAACCGGAGCUAAUACCGGAUAAUAUAUUGAACCGCAUGGUUCAAUAGUGAAAGACGGUUUUGCUGUCACUUAUAGAUGGAUCCGCGCCGCAUUAGCUAGUUGGUAAGGUAACGGCUUACCAAGGCAACGAUGCGUAGCCGACCUGAGAGGGUGAUCGGCCACACUGGAACUGAGACACGGUCCAGACUCCUACGGGAGGCAGCAGUAGGGAAUCUUCCGCAAUGGGCGAAAGCCUGACGGAGCAACGUCGCGUGAGUGAUGAAGGUCUUCGGAUCGUAAAACUCUGUUAUUAGGGAAGAACAAAUGUGUAAGUAACUAUGCACGUCUUGACGGUACCUAAUCAGAAAGCCACGGCUAACUACGUG
rnacentral:rRNA from 1 species